rnacentral:rRNA from 1 species
AACGUAGGUGGCGAGCGUUAUCCGGAUUUACUGGGCGUAAAGGGUGUGCAGGCGGGCUGUUAAGUGGUGCAUGAAAUCUCCGCGCUUAACGUGGAGAGGCUGUGCCAGACUGGCAGUCUAGAGUACGAGAGAGGGUUGUGGAAUUCCUGGUGUAGCGGUGAAAUGCGCAGAUAUCAGGAGGAACACCGAUGGCGAAGGCAGCUCGCUGGGACGGUACUGACGCUGGAGGCGACGAAAGCGUGGGGAGCAAACAGG